rnacentral:misc_RNA from 1 species
UUUCCGUAGGUGAACCUGCGGAAGGAUCAUUAUUGAAUGAAACACUUCUGGCUUUAUGCUGUUGUGCUGGCCCUUUGGGCAAUGUGCACACGGCUCUGGUCACUUGUUUCUUCUGUUCCACCUGUGCACUGCCUGUAGACACGCUGUGUCUAUGAUAUUUGUUAACACACAACAAUGUUAGUUGGCAUGUUAUAUAUAAUAAUAAAAUAUACAACUUUCAACAACGGAUCUCUUGGCUCUCGCAUCGAUGAAAAACGCAGC